CCUACGGGCGUCAGCAGUGAGGAAUAUUGGUCAAUGGACGCAAGUCUGAACCAGCCAUGCCGCGUGCAGGAUGACGGCUCUAUGAGUUGUAAACUGCUUUUGUACGAGGGUAAACCCCGAUACGUGUAUCGGGUUGCAAGUAUCGUACGAAUGAGGCUCUGCUAACUCCGUGCCCGCAGCCGCGGUAAUACGGAGGGUCCGCGCGUUAUCCGGGUUGAGUGGGUUGAAAGGGUGCGUAGGCGGUUUGAUAAGUUAGAGGUGAAAUGUCGGGGCUCAACCCCGGAACUGCCAUUAAUACUGUCGGACUAGAGAAUAGUUGCGGUAGGCGGAAUGUAUGGUGUAGCGGUGAAAUGCGUAGAGAUCAUACAGAACACCGAUUGCGAAGGCAGCUUACCAACCUAUAUCUGACGUUGAGGCACGAAAGCGUGGGUAGCAAACAGGAUUAGAUACCCGAGUAGUC
rnacentral:rRNA from 1 species